UGGCAACAUGAAACCUUGGCUUGAAUUAGGUAUACCGGACUACAAGAAGUACUGGAAGAGGUUUCUUGUCCGAGGAGAUCGAUUUAUGGACGAGUGCAACGUAAAUCCGUGAUGCAGUUGGACCUGAAAUCACAACAAGUGAGUAAAUCUGUGACGCAGUUGGACCUGAAGUCAGAACAAUUAGGAUAGAUGGCUACAUCAGCUAGCCUUACUUAAGUUUGUGCCGGCAAAUUGUGGAAGAGAACGAAUUCUAGUGGUGGAGCC
rnacentral:lncRNA from 1 species